UUUUUUUUUUUUUUUUUUUUUUUUUUUUUUUUUGUCUUUUUGCAGGGCUGCAUCCAUGGCACUAUGGAAGUUCCCAGGCUAGGGGUCGAAUCAGAGCUGUAGCCACAGGCCUGCACCACAGCCACAGCAACUUGGAAUCCAGCUUGGGAUCUGCCACCUACAUCACCACAGCUCACAGCAACGCCGAAUCCUUAACCCAGGGAGCAAGGCCAGGGAUUGAACCUGCAUCCUCAUGGAUACUAGUCAGGUUCAUUUCCAUGGAGCCAUGAUGGCAACUCCUUUUUUUUUUUUUUUAAAGGGCUGCACUUUUUUGGAAGUUCUGGGGCCAGGGAUUGAAUCCAAGCCAUAGCUACUGCUGCUGCAACACCAUAUUCUGUGCUAGGCAGGCUAUCGAAUCCACACCUCUGUAGUGACUUGAGCCGCUGCAGUCGGAUUCUUAGCCCAUGGAGCCACAGCAGGAACUCCCGAGACUGUCUUGUUUUCUCAAGUGCCCAUUAUGCCCUAGCCGUGGAGCCCCCUCUGAAAACACGGAAAGAUGAAGAGAAGAGUGACAGGGAUUGCAGCGACCCUCUUCUCUCUGAUGGGGUCAGAGUAUGCGGUCAUAUGUCGUCCUGCCUCAGCCUGGCAUUCAAACUCAUGGGCAAAGGCAACUGCCUGUUCUGAAAAGAUAGGACACCAAAACAAGCCGAAAAUGCAGAGGUGCACUGAUGCUGAAUGUGAGUCCUGAUAACUAGUGUACCUCUCUAUAGUGGCCACGUCCUCUGAUGCCUGCAUCUAAAUCUAUCUUUCCCACGGACCACUCCCUUAAUUGUUGUUUUUUUAAGGGCUGCACCUGCAGCAGACAUAUGGACAUUCCCGGGCUAGGGGUCUAAUCAGAGCUGCAGCUGCCAGCCUAUGCCACAGCCACAGCAAUGCCAGAUCUGAACCACGUCUGUGACUUACACGGCAGCCCAUGGUCACACCAGAUCCUUACCCCACUGAGCAGAGCCAAGGAUUGACCCCAGGUCCUCAUGAUACUAGGGGGUGUUGUUACCGCUAAGCCGCCACAGGAGCCACCCGACUCCCUUAGUUCUUAGUAGCUGAUCAGCCUACUAACCUAGGAUGAAAAAGAAACAUAUAAAGGACACGGCAGGUGGCAAUGGUUUAAGAGCUAUAGAUCCCUCAUGUUGGAAGGGAAAUUUCUAAGCCUAAGUAACUACGGAGGCAAAGAAGUGGGGAAGGACUUGGGGGUUCUGAGUCCCUUUUUGUAUGUGACUUGACAUAGGGCACUGUUUCCCAAACCUCAGACAUUCAUGUGCCACCGUCAUGGUUUUUGCCAUAUUUGCACCAGCAGCACUAUUUUUUGCUUAAAAUAGGAAAGUUCUUCAUUUAAAUUAACACAUCAUAAGAUGCAAAUAUCAUUACCUUAAAUGAAACCCUGGUACUGUCCCACUCUAGAUGUAAGCAAACACAUGACUGUAGGAAUAAGUAAAUAGUUACAAGUUGCUCUGAGAUUUUUCAACGGGGAAGAGUUUGACCUGGUCUAAGAGGACAGAAAGCUCAUUGGCACACGUGAGCUUUGAACUGAGAUAGAGGAAGAAGUACACUUGAUCAGUUUGCAGAUGGGCCGUGAAGGAGCAUUCCAGGCAGUUAGACAAGCAUGUCCAAAGGCCCUGUGGUGGAAACACAUUGGGAGGGGGAGUCGAGUCAUGACCGGAAGGCAGUGCGGGCAGGAUGCUCGUCACCAACUCUAAGGAGCAAAGACAAAGAGGACCAUUCAGCGUGUGCCGCUAACGAAUGAAUGACCGAUGAUUCCUGGACGUCCUCCUUCACGUGAAGAAUUCUGCCACGCUCCCUGAGCAGAGGUCUAAGACCGCCUGGGAUCGAUGAGACGUUCUGAUGAUACAGGAUAAGUUCUUUCCAUAAAAUGCUGCUCCCACAGAUUUUCUGGACUGGGAAAUGCAGACAUGCCAGCAUCUUCCACACACAGUUCCCAGUUCAGAAAAUCAGAAAAGUCCUGGGGAUGUCAAGGGCAAGUCGUCAAAAUCUGACUGCGACAUGACACAUGAGUGUUUACAUACUUGUCACAGCCCACGUGGUGUCCAGCCAGACACAUGCUGAGGAGGGAGUAUAAGAAAAAAUCAUCAUCUGCGUGGUAAUUACGGACAAUCAGAUUAAUUGGACACAGUUCCCUAGUGCUGCAAACAGGUCAGUAGACUGGGACAGCAUCUCUGCCCUUCAGGGCACCACAGAGGUGCCGUGGGGACGAGCCUAUCAUCAAACAGAGAUGGGGAGGCGGUAAGAGAGGCGGCCCUGGACCCUCCCCUCAAUGCCAUCUCACAGGAAGCCCCUCGGCUUUCACCUGCCUUAUACGCUGGGCACUCACAUGCUUUCCACUCCAAGAAAGAGGAUUCCACCGCCUUAUUGAAGAGACACCAGCCCCAGUCCACAGAAGCCUGAAUACUCAAGCUUCAGGUCCUCCCACAGAGAAUGCCUGAUAGCGUGCCCUCUGCCCAAUAUCCGAUUUAUUGAUUGAUUGUCUUUUUGCCUUUUCUAGGGCCGCUCCGGCAGCAUAUGUGUGGCCCUAAAAAGCAGACAAAGAAAAAGAAAGUGGGUUGAAAUGAUGCCCCUCUGUGGGGAGUUUAUAGAGACUGAAAACUCACACAGCUGGCAAUGCAGCUCAGGCGUGAGGACAGGGAGCAGCUGGGCGACACCAACUAAAGAGGGAAACCCAUUCCUCACCCCGCCGUUUUUUUUCUUUAAUUCUAAGUGGGAAUAAAAAUCUGAUAUUGUCAAAUUUUCACCUUUCUGAAGAGAAGAUAGAAUUGAGAGUUCACAGCAAAUAUUCUAACAUUUUUGAAAUCAGGAAAUGAUUCACAGUUAGCCAAAAAGGAAAACUAAACUUCACACAUUAACCACAUCAAACACCACGAGAACCAAACAAAACAGGUUUGCACAUUGAGUCGGAAGCCUUGGAAAACUGAGUUAGAGUCAAGGCAAAGCCCAAUGGCAGUGGGGCUCAUUUGGGGGCUGAAUGGGCUGCCUUGGGAUGAACUCGGUAACCAUUUCUCUUCCAUCUUUAAACGAUGAAGUCAAUGUUUUGUUUCCUUUGGCAGAAUUCAUUUAUCAUCUGGGACCCAGGAGAAAUGAUGUAAAUGUCCAGUCCCUCUAGAGAUUUGGUGAUUCUUCAAGGAGCCUUUUUUUUUCUUUCUUUUUCUUUUUUUCU
rnacentral:lncRNA from 1 species